AUGGGUGACGAGGCGAUGAGAGACAGAGGAGAGGAGGAAGAGACGGAGGGGAUGGAGAGGAAGGAUGCCGGCGCGACCAAGAAGGUGGCCUUCUUCGGCAUGUUCAGGUACGCCAGGCGCGCCGACGUUGCGCUGAUGGGCGUGGGCACGGUGGCGGCAAUGGUGAACGGCAUGUCGGAGCCGCUCAUGACGGUGGUCUUCGCCGCGGUCAUCGAGUCCUUCGGCGGCAGCGACGACAGCGCCGUCCUCCACCGGGUCAGCAAGGUUGUUGUGUACUACAUCUAUUUGGGAAUUGGGACGGCACUAGCUUCAUUUCUCCAGGUGUCGUGCUGGACAAUGGCUGGAGAAAGGCAGUCAGCACGCAUCCGAUCUCUCUACCUCGAAGCUGUUCUCAAGCAGGAUGUUUCAUUCUUUGAUGUGGAGAUGACAACUGGGGAAGCAAUUUCUAGAAUGUCUGCAGAUACUGUACUGGUACAAGAUGCUCUUGGAGAGAAGCUUUUGACAACCUUUGUUGGAGGUUUUGUCAUCGGAUUCAUAAGAGGCUGGAUGUUAGCUCUGGUUAUGCUGGCAUGCAUACCACCAAGUAUUCUCUCUUUUGCAACCGUCUCUCGACUACGUGCUCAAAUAUCUGCCAGGAGGCAAGCAUCAUAUGACGACGCGGGCAAUGUUGUCGAGCAGAGCAUCAGAGCUAUAAGAACGGUUGUCUCCUUCAAUGGUGAGAAGAAAGCAGUUGCAUUGUAUAAUGCUCUCAUAAAAAAGGCGUACAAGGCUACUGUCUUGGAAGGGCUUGUCACUGGUCUUGGAAUAGGCUGUAUCUUUUGUGUUGUCUUCUGCAGUUACUCUCUAGCCUUUUGGUAUGGCGCGAAGUUAAUCAUCAGCAAAGGAUAUACUGGAGGGCAGGUCAUCAAUGUUGUAUUUGCAAUUCUUACUGGAUCAAUGGCUAUAGGUAAUGCAUCACCAUCGAUUUCUGCUAUUGCAGAAGGCCAAUCUGCAGCACACAGGUUGUUUGAAAUAAUUAACAGAAAACCAAAGAUUGACAUCAGCGACACUUCUGGAAUAGAAUUAGAUGAUAUCAAGGGCGACGUCGAACUGAACAAUGUAUUCUUUAGAUACCCAGCAAGGCCUGAGCAAUUGAUACUUAAUGGGUUGUCUCUACAAGUGCCUAGUGGUACUACCAUGGCUAUAGUUGGAGAGAGUGGAAGUGGAAAAUCAACAUUAAUUAGUCUGGUAGAGAGAUUCUACGACCCACAGGCUGGUGAAGUGCUGAUAGAUGGAAUCAACAUCAAGAGUUUGAAACUCAAGUGGAUAAGAGGGAAGAUCAGUCUUGUUAGUCAGGAACCAUUACUUUUUAUGACCUCCAUCAAAGAUAACAUAACCUAUGGUAAAGAGGAUGCUACGCUUGAGGAGAUCAAGAGAGCAGCUGAGCUGGCAAAUGCAGCAAACUUCAUCGAAAAGCUGCCUAAUGCAUAUGAGACAAUGGUUGGUCAGAGUGGUGCUCAGCUUUCUGGAGGGCAGAAGCAACGGAUUGCCAUUGCAAGAGCGAUCCUUAGAAGUCCAAAAGUCCUUCUGUUGGAUGAAGCUACUAGUGCUUUGGAUGUGGAGUCUGAGCGAGUAGUUCAAGAAGCACUAAAUAGGAUCAUGGUAGGGAUAACGACACUCAUUGUUGCUCACCGUCUGAGUACAGUCAGGAAUGCAGAUUGCAUAGCAGUGGUUCAUCAAGGAAAGGUAGUUGAACAAGGUGCCCAUGACCAGUUGAUCAAGGAUCCUGACGGAGCUUACUGUCAGCUUAUUCAGUUACAACAGGUCCAUACCGAAGGAAUGCAUGAGGUGCCAUAUUCAUCAGGUUCAAGACUUAAAAGUAGAAGUUUAUCUUUGGAACAAUCUAUGAGAGAUUCUCCCAGGAAUAGAAGACAGCACUCUGUAAAACCCCUUGGACUCUCUGGAUCUGAUGAUUUGCACGGGUCUGCUGAUACCAGCAGACAAGAGCACAAAGAAUUUGGUGAUAGUGAAGCUCCUAAGAAAGCACCAAUUGGACGCCUUUUUAAUCUUAAUAAGCCAGAAGCACCAAUUCUCCUAUUAGCUGUUAUAGCUGCUUUUGUGCAUGGACUUCUUUUCCCAUUAUUCAGUAUUAUGAUGUCUGGUGGUAUAAGGACAUUCUACUAUCCAGCACACAAACUUCGAAAAGAUUCUACAUUUUGGGCAUUGCUAUGCCUUCUGUUGGCAAUCAUUUCUCUGAUUGCAAUCCAAUUGGAAUUUUUCUUAUUUGGAAUGGCCGGUGGGAAACUUGUAGAACGUGUCCGUGCUUUUUCUUUCCAGAGCAUCAUGCAUCAAGAGGUUGCUUGGUUCGACGAUCCUUCUAAUUCCAGUGGUGCACUUGGUGCAAGGCUGUUUAUUGAUGCUUUGAACAUCCGACGCCUUGUAGGAGAUAACUUGGCCAUACUAGUGCAGUGCACAAUAACACUUAUUUCUGGCUUCGCCAUAGCAUUUGCUUCUGACUGGAAGCUUACACUGAUCGUCAUAUGUGUCAUUCCUUUUCUGGGUUUACAGAAUUAUAUUCAAGUAAAGUUCUUGAAUAGUUUCAGUGAAGAUGCUAAGGUGAUGUAUGAAGAUGCAAGUCAAGUUGUAGCCGAAGCAGUCGGCAGUAUUCGAACUGUAGCAUCUUUCUGCGCAGAGAAGAGAGUAAUUACGAUGUACAGCAAAAAAUGCCAAGCUACAAUGAAACAGGGAAUUAGAAGUGGAAUGGUUGGAGGCCUCGGAUUCAGUUUCUCAAACUUAAUGUUGUAUCUCACAUAUGCUCUUUGUUUCUAUGUUGGUGCAUUGUUUGUACAUGACGGCAAAUCAACCUUUAAAGAUGUUUUCAGAGUUUAUUUUGCUUUGGUUUUCACAGCUUUUGGAAUUUCCCAAACAAGUGCAAUGGCAUCAGAUUCAACAAAAGCUCAAGAGUCCACAACAUCCAUACUAGCUGUCAUAGACAGGAGGUCCAAAAUUGACCCAACUAGUGAUGAAGGCAUAAAGCUAGAGAAAGUUGAUGGCAACAUAGAUUUCAACCAUGUGAGCUUCAAGUACCCAUCCCGCCCAGAUGUUCAAGUAUUCAGUGACUUUACUCUGGGCAUUCCCUCCGGAAAGACUACUGCACUUGUUGGAGAGAGUGGCAGUGGCAAGUCCACAGUAAUUGCUUUGCUAGAGCGAUUCUAUGAUCCAGACUCUGGCACAAUCUCACUAGAUGGAACAGAACUCAAAAACUUAACACUGAGUUGGUUAAGAGACCAGAUGGGGCUGGUAAGCCAAGAACCAGUGCUUUUCAAUGACACGAUUCGUGCCAACAUAGCAUAUGGAAAGCGCGGAGAAGCAACUGAAGAAGAGAUUAUCACUGUCGCCAAGGCGGCCAACGCUCAUGAGUUCAUAUCGAGCUUGCCUCAGGGAUACAACACCAAUGUCGGUGAGAGGGGAACACAACUAUCUGGUGGGCAAAAACAACGGGUAGCUAUUGCAAGGGCAAUCUUGAAGGACCCUAGAGUACUUCUGCUAGACGAGGCAACAAGUGCCCUGGACGCUGAAUCAGAGCGUAUUGUUCAAGAUGCAUUGGACAAGGUGAUGGUAAGCAGGACCACCAUUGUUGUAGCACACCGUCUGUCCACGAUCAAAGGGGCAGAUACAAUCGCAGUCAUCAAAGAUGGUUCGGUUGCCGAGAAGGGGAAGCAUGAAUCGCUCAUGGGCAUCAAGGGUGGAGUCUAUGCAUCGCUGGUCGAGCUACACUCAAAGGCGUCAGCGUCAUAA
rnacentral:rRNA from 1 species